rnacentral:rRNA from 1 species
GUGCCAGCCGCCGCGGUAACACGUAGGGGGCGAGCGUUGUUCGGAAUUACUGGGCGUAAAGGGCAUGUAGGCGGUCUGGUAAGCCUGGCGUGAAAGGCCACAGCUCAACUGUGGGAUUGCGUUGGGAACUGCUGGGCUUGAGUUAUGGAGAGGGAGCUAGAAUUCCUGGUGUAGGGGUGAAAUCUGUAGAUAUCAGGAAGAAUACCGAUGGCGAAGGCAAGCUCCUGGCCGAUGACUGACGCUGAGGUGC